rnacentral:tRNA from 1 species
UGGGGCGUGGCCAAGUGGUAAGGCAGCGGGUUUUGGUCUCGCCAUCCGGAGGUUCGAAUCCUUCCGUCCCAG